CCCAAAAUAGCUCAGUAGGUAAAGCAAGAGACUCUUAAUCUCGGGGUUGUGGGUUCAAGCCCCACAUUGGGG